CCCUUAGAUGUUCUGGGCCGCACGCGCGCUACACUGACUGGUGCAACAAGUGUCUGACCUUGGCUCGAGAGGCCUGGGCAACCUUUGAACGCCAGUCGUGCUGGGGAUAGAUUCUUGCAAUUAUUAAUCUUCAACGAGGAAUUCCUAGUAAACGCAAGUCAUCAGCUUGCAUUGAUUACGUCCCUGCCCUUUGUACACACCGCCCGUCGCACCUACCGAUUGAAUGGUCCGGUGAAACCUCCGGAUUGGCGCGUGCCCUCGGGCGCCGCCGAGAAGUUGGUUAAACCUUACCAUUUAGAGGAAGGUGAAGUCGUAACA
rnacentral:rRNA from 1 species